GUAUUGAAGUCUUCCCCCUCCUGGAAUCUGUUCUCCACGACCCAGAAUUCUUUGAGCGUCCAGAAGAAUUUUUCCCAAAACACUUCCUGGAUGCCGAUGGCCGAUUCGUCAAAAACGAAGCCUUCUUGCCUUUCUCCUCAGGGAAACGAAUCUGCCUUGGGGAAGGCCUGGCCCGCACCGAGCUCUUCCUCCUCUUCACCACAAUCCUCCAGAAUUUCUCCCUGGAGAGUCCAUCCCCGAUUGGGGCUCUGAGCCUCCGUCCAGCCAUCAGUGGCUUCGCCAACAUUCCUCCCACCUUCCAGCUCCGUUUCCGGCCCCGCUGACUGGCUGUGGGAGACGGCAGCAGGAGACCCCACCGCCUGGGGGCUGAUGAGCUGGUGCCCCAGUUGGAUUGGACCUGGGAGGUUCCGAGAUAAUUUCCCUGAAGCCCCCAAAGAACAAAGGCCUAGGAAUCGAUUCAUACAUUCCAGAGACUAAUUGGACGUACAGCCGAAGCUUUGCUCGAGGAUGCCAAUAGAGCAACAUCUCAUAUUUA